UGUAGAUGGUAAUAUCCGCGCUAGCUUCCCAUUGUAAAAAAAGGAAUGUAAGGUAUGCCUGAGUCUUUUUGUUAGAAAAUUGGGAUAAAGAACUUACAGUUGCUUUGUCCUGGAAUUUCGUUGUCUGCUGAUUGUAGCACAUUGAAAGAUUGAUGAGUAUAACUUCAACUUGAAUGGGAUGCGUCACCGGCAUAGAAUGUGGAUCAUUUUUCUUUAGAUUUUUACCAUUGUUAAU